GAAUUCUUGAUAUCGUCUGGAUAUGUGAUUUGCAAAUAUUUUACCUCAGUCUGUGGCUUAUCUUGUCAUUUUAUCAAUGGUAUCUUUUGAAGUACAAAUGUUUUCAAUUUUGAUAAGGUCCAAUUUAUCAUUUUUGUUUGUUUGUUUUAUAGGAAAAAAAUCUAAGGCCUCUUUGUCUAACCCAACGUCAUGAAGAUGAUCUCCCAAGCUCAUUCUUAAAUUUAUCUUCUUAUCCCUCACCCCCCCACUUCCUAGGCCUGACAGUUCCACCUCCUCCGUUUUUUCUCUUUGCACUCAGCCACCUCCUUUUGUUCCCUUUCAGCAGUGAUUUUUAAAAAAAUCCCCAAAUCAGAUCACACUCCACAAGGGCAGCGAUGUUCCUCUGUUUUGUUCACCAAUGAGUCCCAAGUGCCUAGAACAAUGCCUGGUAUACAGUAGGUGCUCAGUAGAUGCACUUUGGGUUGAGUCAUAUUGUUCCUCGGGAGGCACUGCAUUGCACUUGGAGAAAAGGCCAGCCUCACUGUUCAGGCCUACAAGAUCCAACACAAUCCAACCGUACCCACCCUGCCCCCUUGCCCACUCCCCUCCUACCACCCCGAUCUUCCCUCUAAUCCUCAAAGGUGUCAAGCUCAUUCCCAUCUCAGGGCCUUUGCUUCAGCUGUUCCAUCUGCCUGUGAUUCACUUCCCUCUGCGUUCCCCAAGCCUGGCUCCUUUUGUCAGUAUGAACUCGGCCUAAACAUCACCUCCUCUGAGAAGCCUUCCCUGACCACCUCAUCUAAAACAGCUGUCCCACCUGCCCAUCACACUAGCACCACCCUAUUUUCAUUGUCCACAGAGCACUUAUCUCCAGAUAUUUUCCCAGUUUAUAUAUAUUUACUUAGUGGAUGGUUAUCCUCCAUCCUCCAUGGGCCCCAAGAUGGGAGCAGGGAGGAGAACAGAGCUCCCAGGCCCUCUUUAGGCAAGCCCUUCCUCCUUCAGGAGGCUUCCUUGGUUAUUCCAGCCGCUAAAGCUUUCCUGUCUCCUGUCUGUCUUCCUUCCUUUCCCACUGCAGUAAGCUGUAAAGUUGGUGCCCCACAAUGGACCAUGCUUCCUAGUAUUCAUAUCCUGGGGAGGUCUCAUUCCACAUUGUUGCUGAGCUCGGCCGUGUCACUUGUUCUGGCCAAUGAAAUAUUAGCAAAUACGAUGGAAGUAGAAGUUUGAUGCUCUCUUGCAUAUUGAGGAUUGUUCUCACUGGAACGUAGCUGCCAUGCUGUGAAGAAGCCCAAGUUAGCCCUGUGUAGAGGCCAAGUAGAGGAGAAUCAAAGUACAGUCAUCUCGGUAUCCACGGGGGAUUGGUUCCAAGACCCCCGCAAAUACCAAUAUCCAAGGAUGCUCAAAUACCUUAUAUAAAAUGGCAUAGUAUUUGCAUAUAAACUAGGCACACCCUCCUCUGUAUUUUUAAUCAUCUCCAGGUUGCAUAUAAUACCUAAGACAAUGUAAAUGCUGUGUAAAUCCUUGCUGGCACCAGGCAAAUUCACGUUUUGCUUUUUGGAAUAUUUUUCCCAAAUAUUUUCAAUCCUUGAUUGGUUAAAUCCAGGAAUGUGGAAUCUGUGGAUACAGAGGGCCACUGUACCUGAGAUGACAGCCCACGCUGGCAGCCAGCUGAGUUCCCAAGCUGACAGUUAACAUCAACUGCAGCCAUGUGUGUGAAGCCACCUUGGACGUUUCACCCCAGUUGAGCCCUCAGCUAAUUGCAGCUGUAUAAAUGAUCCCAGAGGACAAAAUAUGAAGCAGAAGAACUGUCCAGUCAAUCCAGAGGAUGGGACCGGCCCACACUCCCCAGAGGGUGACCCCUAACCUGAUCAACUCCUGCACUUAGUCAUCAGCAUUUAUGGGGCACCUGCUGCCCCCCGCAGGGACAGGCUGUGGGCAGAGGAGAAACCCCCAGGAGCGCAGGACGCUGUGGUGGAGCCCGGAGAGGCUGAGCGAGCUCCUUCAGCCACGUGGCGCCUGAGAUACUAUGUUUUUCUCAAAUUGAAGGUUUGUGGCAACCCUACGUCGAGCAAGUCUGUUACCGCCAUAUUUCCAACUGCAUUUGCUCACUUCCUGUCUCUGUGUCACGUUCUGGUAAUUCUUACAAUAUUUCGAAUCUUUUCAUUGUUAUUAUGUUUGUUAUGAUGAUGUACGAUCAGUGAUCUUUGAUGUUACCACGACAACUCACUGAAGGCCCAGAUAAUACUUAGUAUUU